rnacentral:rRNA from 1 species
CAGCCGCCACGGUAAUACGGAGGGGGCUAGCGUUGUUCGGAAUUACUGGGCGUAAAGCGUACGUAGGCGGCUUUGUAAGUUAGAGGUGAAAGCCUGGUGCUCAACACCAGAACUGCCUUUAAGACUGCAUCGCUUGAAUCGCGGAGAGGUGAGUGGAAUCCCGAGUGUAGAGGUGAAAUUCGUAGAUAUUCGGAAGAACACCAGUGGCGAAGGCGGCUCACUGGACGCGUAUUGACGCUGAGGUACGAAAGCGUGGGGAGCAAACAGGAUUAGAUACCCGCGUAGUCCCUGUCUCUUAUAC